rnacentral:rRNA from 1 species
UGAGCUUGAUCCUGGCUCAGGACGAACGCUGGCGGCGUGCCUAAUACAUGCAAGUCGAGCGCAGGAAGCCGGCGGAUCCCUUCGGGGUGAAGCCGGUGGAAUGAGCGGCGGACGGGUGAGUAACACGUGGGCAACCUACCUUGUAGACUGGGAUAACUCCGGGAAACCGGGGCUAAUACCGGAUGAUCAUUUGGAUCGCAUGAUCCGAAUGUAAAAGUGGGGAUUUAUCCUCACACUGCAAGAUGGGCCCGCGGCGCAUUAGCUAGUUGGUAAGGUAAUGGCUUACCAAGGCGACGAUGCGUAGCCGACCUGAGAGGGUGAUCGGCCACACUGGAACUGAGACACGGUCCAGACUCCUACGGGAGGCAGCAGUAGGGAAUCAUCCGCAAUGGGCGAAAGCCUGACGGUGCAACGCCGCGUGAACGAUGAAGGUUUUCGGAUCGUAAAGUUCUGUUAUGAGGGAAGAACAAGUGCCGUUCGAAUAGGUCGGCACCUUGAACGGUACCUCACGA